CAAGUCGAACGAGAAAGUGGAGCAAUCCAUGAGUACAGUGGCGUACGGGUGAGUAACACGUGGGUAAUCUACCUCUUAGUGUGGAAUAACCCUGGGAAACCGGGGCUAAUACCGCAUAAGCUCGAGAGAGGAAAGCAGCAAUGCGCUGAGAGAGGAGCCCGCGGCCGAUUAGCUAGUUGGCAGGGUAAAAGCCUACCAAGGCAAAGAUCGGUAGCCGGCCUGAGAGGGCACACGGCCACACUGGCACUGAAACACGGGCCAGACUCCUACGGGAGGCAGCAGUGGGGAAUCUUGCACAAUGGGGGAAACCCUGAUGCAGCGACGCCGCGUGAGCGAUGAAGCCCUUCGGGGUGUAAAGCUCUUUCGGCAGGGAAGAUUAUGACGGUACCUGCAGAAGCAGCUGCGGCUAACUACGUGCCAGCAGCCGCGGUAAUACGUAGGCAGCGAGCGUUGUUCGGAGUUACUGGGCGUAAAGGGUGUGUAGGCGGUUGUUUAAGUUUGGUGUGAAAUCUCCCGGCUCAACUGGGAGGGUGCGCCGAAUACUGAAUGACUAGAGUGCGGGAGAGGAAAGUGGAAUUCCUGGUGUAGCGGUGAAAUGCGUAGAUAUCAGGAGGAACACCGGUGGUGUAGACGGCUUUCUGGACCGUAACUGACGCUGAGACACGAAAGCGUGGGUAGCAAACAGGAUUAGAUACCCUGCUAGUCCACGCCCUAAACGAUGCAUAUUUGGUGUGGGCAGUUCAUUCUGUCCGUGCCGGAGCUAACGCGUUAAAUAUGCCGCCUGGGGAGUACAGUCGCAAGGCUGAAACUCAAA
rnacentral:rRNA from 1 species